CGAGGGGCCACUGCUGUCCAGGAGAAUUCCAGGCCCCAGGACCUCCAAGCAACUUCCUCUCCUUCAUCAGCAGUUGCCAGCAGUCAUCCUCUGGGCUCUGCCAGCAAGUUGGCAGCAGGUGUGGGGGGUGGAACACAAGCUUAGAAGUCACAAAAUCAGUAUUCUGGGCCCUACAUGAUGAGCUGUCACUGAGUGAUGCUGGCAUUGCAACUGCUUCUGUAACAGGUGGGAUGGGUUCAAAGUGUGGAAUCAUUACCACAGCUGAUUAAUGAUGAGGUGGCAGAGAUGUGAUGUUAGAUAACAUUCAACCACACAUUGAGACUACGAUUCCCUUUUUAGUUUCUUCAAUUCUUGUGAUUAUGAUAAAAAUAGAAGAAAGUUUCAAUCCAAUGCACUAUAUCCUUUUAUUUCCCCCCAUUGUUUUGAGACAGGGUCUCGCUCUGUCAUCCAGGCUGGAGUGGAGUGGCACGAUCAUAGCUCACUGUAGCCUCCUGUGCUCAAGUGAUCCUCUCACCUCAGCCUCCCAAGUAGCUGGAUAAACAAGUGUGUGCCAACAUGCCCAGCUAAUUUUUUAUUUUUAUUUUUUGUAGAGAUGGGGUCUCACUUUGUUGCCCAGAUUGGUCUCUAACUAAUUGACUCAAGUGAUCCUCCUGCCUUGGCCUCCCAAAGUGCUGGGAUUAUAGGUGUGAGCAACCACACUGGCCUUCUGUGUCUUCAAUACACCUGUAUCACUUGCUAAUCCUGCAAACCAUACCUAUCCUGGUUUUCUUUUCUUUCCUUUUUUUUUUUUUUUUUGAGACAGAGUCUCACACUGUCACCCGAGCUGGAGUGCCAUGGCUCGAUCUUGGCUCACUGCAACCUCUGCUUCCUGUGUUCAAGCGAUUCUCCUGCCUCAGCCUCCCUAGUAGCUGGGAUUACAGGCUCACGCCACCACACCCGACUAGUUUUUUGUAUUUUUAGUAGAGACGGGGUUUCACCAUGUUGGCCAGUCUGGUCUCAAACUCCUGACCUCAUGAUUUGCCCACCUCAGCCCCCACAAAGUGCUGGGAUUACAGGUGUGAGCCCCCGUACCCAGCCACCUUUCUGUCUUUCAUAAGGAAAAUAAUAACUAUAAUCUAAUCAUACUGUUUCUCAAUCCAUGGGAGUGAGAGGAAGUUUCUUUAAAAAUAAAAUGUAUAAAGAAGUGAGUCACGUUAGAUUAUCUGAGUGUUAGAUAAGCUGAGGUGGUGUGGGGAUAUGGUAAAGCUCAUGACACUGGUAUGUGAAGGACUGAAGUUUGUCAAGCCCUUCACUAGACUAGCUGAGAGUCAGUAAAUAAUCACUCUAAGAUUGGAAACUUGAAAUCCUAACAUUGGAAACUUGAAAUCCUAGAAAUGCUUCCAAAAUUAUGCCAGCUGAUUUCAUUUUCAAAUGCUG
rnacentral:lncRNA from 1 species